ensembl:Mt_tRNA
AAGAAAGAUAAUUGAACUGCUAACUCAAUACCCCGUGCCUAACAGCACGGCUUUCUUA